AGUAGGUCAGGCAAUCGCGGGCAGAAAGAGGAUUCUUUUUGCGUGAGGAAAGUCCGGGCUCCAUAGAGCAGGAUGCCGGCUAACGGCCGGUGAGGGCGACCUUAAGGAUAGUGCAACAGAAAAUAAAUGCCGGAAUAUUUUUUUCGGCGAUUGUGGAAAUGUGCGGUAAGAGCGCACAGGGAAUAUGGUAACUGACUUCCCGUGUAAACCCCAUCCGGAGCAACAUUCAAAUGACGCAAUUAAGCUUGCUCGGCAUUUGCGCGACAGAAUGGCUUGAACUGUGCAGCAAUGCACAGUCACAGAUAGAUGAUUGUCUAAUACAGAACCCGGCUUACAGACCUGCUCAU
rnacentral:RNase_P_RNA from 1 species